GUGUUAAAAUUUUACAUAGAAAUAUAUAGAGUAAAUCUUUGAAAAUCUUCUUCUCAGAAACUAAUCAGCCAGGAAAGGUGAAACUGUUGUGGAAGCAUCCUCAGGUAGUGUAGAUUCAAAGUUGUGAAAAUCAUGAUCCCUGGGGGUAGGGUGGGGCACAAUGGGGGGUCGAAGUUUUACAUAGGAAUAUAUAGAGUAAAUCUUUAAAAAUCUUCUUCUCAGAAACUAAUCAGCCAGGAAAGCUGAAACUUGUGUGGAAGUAUCCUCAGGUAGUGUAGAUUCAAAGUUGUGAAAAUCAUGAUCCCUGGGGGUAGGGUGAGGCCACAUGGGGGGGGGGGGGGGUGUUAAAGUUUUACAUAGGAAUAUAUAAAGUAAAUCUUUAAAAAUCUUCUUCUCAGAAACUAAUCAGCAAGAUGAUUCUUUAUAAUUGUUAAAACUUUGGCUCCAGGACAAUUCUUCUGCCUCACAAGAAGGUUCAGAGUUUGAUGUAGCUAAAUAUCCCAUAUAUAAACAAUUGUAAAGGAUCUUUUUGAGAACUGCAAUACUCAACAUGUGAUAUGACUAUAAAAUUGAAGCAGGCAGCUAUUUUUUCAUUAGAAUCUUUUUGUAUUACUGUAUUGAGUUAUUGCCCUUGAUUUAUUGAUUCUUGAUUAUUUUAAUUAAUGCAUCCACUGUUAACCAAUUAUUGUGAUGAUUAUUUUUAUACAAUAAUGAAUAUUCAAUGU
rnacentral:sRNA from 1 species